rnacentral:rRNA from 1 species
GAUGAACGCUGGCGGCGUGCCUAAUACAUGCAAGUCGAGCGAACAGACGAGGAGCUUGCUCCUUUGACGAUUGCGGCGGACGGGUGAGUAACACGUGUGUCACCUACCUAUAAGACUGGGAUAACCUCGGGAAACCGGAGCUAAUCCCGGAUAAUAUUUCGCACCGCAUGGUUCGAUAGUGAAAGAUGGCUUUGCUAUCACGUAUCGCUGGACCUGCGCCGUAUUAGCUAGUUGUUAAGUUCACGGCCUACCAAGGCAACCAUACGUAGCCGAACUCCGAGGCUGAUAGGCCACACUGGAACGUGAACACGGACAAGACUCCUACGGGAGGCAGCAGUAGGGAAUCUUCCGCAAAGGGGGAAGGCCUGACGGAGCAACGCCGCGUGAGUGAUGAAAGUCUUCGGAGCGUAAAACUCUGUUAUUAGGGAAGAACAAACGUGUAAGUAACUGUGCACGUCGUGACGGUACCUAAUCAGAAAGCCACGGCUAACUACGUG